AGGAAGGGAACUUGGAGAUCACCUAGUUGAAUCCCCUCAUUUUAGUUGCAAAAAAGCUGAUCCCUAGAGAAAGGAAAGAGACCACAAAGAUGUUCUCUAAGUGGUGCUACUUGAAUAUGGAUCAUGGAACAAUGAACCCUCAGAAGAAUCACCAUCCAAAGCCAUUUAUCAAAGCUCAAAGGGAAAAGGAAUGGAGGCUGCAAACAAACUGAUGAUAAUGCAAGUUUGCACCCAUUUCCAAGAAUAUGUGUGUCCAAAAUGGGAGAUGAUGGAUCUAUCACUUGGAAAACUCCCUUGGUGCCCAGAGCCUUUUACCCCUGGAAGAUUGGUUCAUGCCUGUGGUUGUCUUCUCCCAUAUGGCUCCCCUUAUUGCCUACAUUUGGAAGAAGCUCCAAGACCAUUUGUCCGCCAUUCAUCUUCCAGCUGUGAUUCUGACUCUGGAUUUUCUACCAUGUUCUUGCUCAGGUAUCUUUCCCCAACCUCUUCCCACUUUCUGGCUCUCUUUCUGCAUUAUUAUGAUUCAGAUCCACUUUGGGGCAGACACUGUCUUUUUUGUCUUUCUUUACAUUCCCAGCACUUAGCA
rnacentral:lncRNA from 1 species